GGCCAGACUCCUACGGGAGGCAGCAGUGGGGGAUAUUGCACAAUGGGGGGAACCCUGAUGCAGCGACGCCGCGUGGGUGAAGAAGCGCCUCGGCGCGUAAAGCCCUGUCAGCAGGGAAGAAAAUGACGGUACCUGAAGAAGAAGCCCCGGCUAACUACGUGCCAGCAGCCGCGGUAAUACGUAGGGGGCAAGCGUUAUCCGGAUUUACUGGGUGUAAAGGGGGCGCAGACGGCGAUGCAAGCCAGGAGUGAAAGCCCGGGGCUCAACCCCGGGACUGCAUUUGGAACUGUGUGGCUGGAGUGUCGGAGAGGCAAGUGGAAUUCCUAGUGUAGCGGUGAAAUGCGUAGAUAUUAGGAGGAACACCAGUGGCGAAGGCGGCUUGCUGGACGAUGACUGACGUUGAGGCUCGAAAGCGUGGGGAGCAAACAGGAUUAGAUACCCCAGUACAU
rnacentral:rRNA from 1 species